AACGAACGCUGGCGGCAUGCCUAACACAUGCAAGUCGAACGAGACCUUCGGGUCUAGUGGCGCACGGGUGCGUAACGCGUGGGAACCUGCCCUUAGGUUCGGAAUAACUCCCCGAAAGGGGUGCUAAUACCGGAUAAUGUCUUCGGACCAAAGAUUUAUCGCCUUUGGAUGGGCCCGCGUUGGAUUAGCUAGUUGGUAGGGUAAAAGCCUACCAAGGCGACGAUCCAUAGCUGGUCUGAGAGGAUGAUCAGCCACACUGGGACUGAGACACGGCCCAGACUCCUACGGGAGGCAGCAGUGGGGAAUAUUGGACAAUGGGCGAAAGCCUGAUACAGCAAUGCCGCGUGAGUGAUGAAGGCCUUAGGGUUGUAAAGCUCUUUUAGCCGGGAUGAUAAUGACAGUACCGGGAGAAUAAGCUCCGGCUAACUACGUG
rnacentral:rRNA from 1 species